CUGCUCUCUGAUGGGGUAGGGGAAGCUGCUGAGGACAGGAAGGGCCAGCAGGGAGGUGGCAGGAUGUGCGGAGGCUGAGGAAGUCCAGGCAGUGGCCAGGUCAUCACACUCACAGGGCAGGGGCCCCUCUCAGCAACCGCAGCCACCAUCCCUAGCAACUCAGUCCACACCACUCACUUUAGGAAAGGGGAGAGGCGCAUGCACAACACCCUCCGCUCAACUCCCCUCUCCCACCAGCUGUCAGAGCUUCCCUAAGGCGCUAGCUAGAAACCAAAAGCAGCCCUGCCCUUCCCUUCCAGAACUACACAGGGCCGGAAUGACCUGGAAAGGGGCUACUCCUUCUCUUACAUUCAGGGUAACCUCAGGCAACUCACCAAAGCCUCUCCCCAAGCCUCAGUUUACCCAAGUGUGAAAUGGGGAUAUUGGUGAAACCAGCUGUGAGGCGCAAUAAAUAAGGCACAGUUAUUGAUGGAACUAGGGUUCAUCUCCAAGAGAAAGACAAAUCCCGCCAACGUGACCCCCACCUCCACUCCCGGGCUUGUUCCACCCAAAGCCCCAGCGCCGCUGCGAAUAGGCAAGCCCGGGAGAACAGGGUAUCACGCAGGGUAUCAUCUCAGAAAUCCUGGGAAGAGCUCCCAGACAGGAUGGGACGCGGCGGACCCUUCUCACCCACCCAACCUCCGGCCAGCGCCCAUACCGGUGGGCGGUCCUCCCAGGCUCGGGUCAGCACGACCCAUCUGAGCCAGGGGGCGCCUCUCUCCAGCCUCGGGCCAGGUCCAUCUCCGCUCCUCCCACCGUCCGGAGUCCGGAGAGCCCCUAAGGAUCUUACAGCUUGGAGGAAUCAGGAGCCAGCCUACCCUUUGCCACCUGAGGACCCCCAGAGACAGCAGGAACGGAUUGAACAGCGUGGGACGGUCACCGGGCAUCCGCCAGGAGGUCACCAGUCGGCCCUUGAGCGGGCUCCCAGCCUUGCCCUCUGCUGGUCUCUUGUCUGCCUGUCAAACAGGGUCCAGUGUUGGCCCACAGGUCUCUUUGGCAGGAUGGGGAGUCCCUGACUACAGCCUCCCCUGCCCAUUCUUCCACGCCCACCUCAAAGGCCCAGGGUUCCCAUCUUCCUUCUCUCACAGAGCUACGGAGAACAGAGCUUGUUACCUUGUUCACACUAUAUGGUGUUUGCCUGACAGGGCUCUUGGGGCUCAGCACCGAUGGGGACAUGAUCUUCACCACCUUAAAGUCAAACCCCAGGUGGCCAGCAGGCUAUAGAUGUGUGUUCAGCCCGCACAGGGUUUUCAGAUUAUUUUACAUUAGGUUCUAUUGUUAAAUAAGCAAGAGAUUUAACAUAUAA